UCAUUUCAUUUUUGUUUUUUAAAGUGUGCUUUGUUACUUUUUGAUUUCUAUUACUAAUUUAUAACAGUCCUUAUCAAAUUCUGGGGAAAGUUUUCAAAUAUUUUCUUUUUUCAAAACAAAGAUCCCAAGAUGUAAUCCAGAUGAGGAUUGACAUUUCUUAGUGAAGGUUUUAUUAUUUAUUUUAUUUUUAGUAUAACUUGUGUUUACCUAACUUUAAUCUGGGUCUGCGUAAAAGUUGUUAGUCAUUGUGCAGGCUACAUAACACCCUUGUUAUCAAUCAGACACACAAAAAGUGAACUUUCCCAUUGUCAUACCUAACCCAUUAGAUCUAGUUGUUUUGUGAUCUUCUGCAUAAUCAUUUUUCUGACAUUGUGUGUAGAUAGCCUCCAUGUUGUUUGUAUGACAGUUUUGAAAUGUACAUAUUACUAUAUUGUGAUUGAAUUGACAUUCUUUGAACUUUAUUUGUGUGUAUUGAAUAAACAUUGCUUUGUUACACCAUUACCUUUUCUUUAGUAAUAAUAAUUGAAUGCAUUAAGUGCUGUUGACAAACAUGUAGGCCCAAUGCACUAUAAAGAAAGUUAAAAUGGUAAACUAAUCUUGUAUAUACUUACCAAGUACCUUUGAUUCAUGUAUGUAUGUAUCAAUAAAUCACUUAAACUAGGUGGUUGCAUCCAAAAAUUUAAUUAAUCCUCACAAUAAAUGUGUAAAUAGAAUGAAAGAGGAUGAAAAAUGCUUUCCAUCAACACCAAAUUUGCUAGAAUUAUUGUUUCGAAAGUCAUUGAGAUUUUAAGUUUGUUAAGAAGCC